rnacentral:snRNA from 1 species
AUAUUCACUUCGGCAGUACAUAUACUAAAACUGGAAGGAUACAGAAAAAAUUUGCAUGUCCCCUGCAAAAGGAUGACAUGCAAAUUUAUGAGGAAUUCCACAUUUUU